rnacentral:rRNA from 1 species
UACGUAGGGGGCAAGCGUUGUCCGGAGUUACUGGGCGUAAAGCGCACGCAGGCGGUCUCUUAAGUUUGGAGUGACAGUUGGUGGCUUAACUGCCAAAGUGCUUCGAAAACUGAGAGACUUGAGGGCUUCAGAGGGACACGGAAUUCCGGGUGGAGUGGUGAAAUGCGUAGAGAUCCGGAGGAACACCAAAGGCGAAGGCGGUUACCUGGACAGUUACUGACGCUCAGGCACGAAAGCAUGGGGAGCAAAAGGG